rnacentral:rRNA from 1 species
UCGGGGUGCACGAGUGGCGAACGGGUGAGUAACACGUGGGUAAUCUGCCCUGCACAUCGGGAUAAGCCUGGGAAACUGGGUCUAAUACCGAAUAGGACCACAGAACACAUGUCCUGUGGUGGAAAGCUUUUGCGGUGUGGGAUGGGCCCGCGGCCUAUCAGCUUGUUGGUGGGGUGAUGGCCUACCAAGGCGACGACGGGUAGCCGGCCUGAGAGGGUGUCCGGCCACACUGGGACUGAGAUACGGCCCAGACUCCUACGGGAGGCAGCAGUGGGGAAUAUUGCACAAUGGGCGAAAGCCUGAUGCAGCGACGCCGCGUGGGGGAUGACGGCCUUCGGGUUGUAAACCUCUUUCACCAUCGACGAAGGUCCGGGUUUUCUCGGGCUGACGGUAGGUGGAGAAGAAGCACCGGCCAACUACGUGCCAGCAGCCGCGGUAAUACGUAGGGUGCGAGCGUUGUCCGGAAUUACUGGGCGUAAAGAGCUCGUAGGUGGUUUGUCGCGUUGUUCGUGAAAUCUCACGGCUUAACUGUGAGCGUGCGGGCGAUACGGGCAGACUUGAGUACUGCAGGGGAGACUGGAAUUCCUGGUGUAGCGGUGGAAUGCGCAGAUAUCAGGAGGAACACCGGUGGCGAAGGCGGGUCUCUGGGCAGUAACUGACGCUGAGGAGCGAAAGCGUGGGGAGCGAACAGGAUUAGAUACCCUGGUAGUCCACGCCGUAAACGGUGGGUACUAGGUGUGGGUUUCCUUCCUUGGGAUCCGUGCCGUAGCUAACGCAUUAAGUACCCCGCCUGGGGAGUACGGCCGCAAGGCUAAAACUCAAAGAAAUUGACGGGGGCCCGCACAAGCGGCGGAGCAUGUGGAUUAAUUCGAUGCAACGCGAAGAACCUUACCUGGGUUUGACAUGCACAGGACGCCGGCAGAGAUGUCGGUUCCCUUGUGGCCUGUGUGCAGGUGGUGCAUGGCUGUCGUCAGCUCGUGUCGUGAGAUGUUGGGUUAAGUCCCGCAACGAGCGCAACCCUUGUCUCAUGUUGCCAGCGGGUAAUGCCGGGGACUCGUGAGAGACUGCCGGGGUCAACUCGGAGGAAGGUGGGGAUGACGUCAAGUCAUCAUGCCCCUUAUGUCCAGGGCUUCACACAUGCUACAAUGGCCGGUACAAAGGGCUGCGAUGCCGCGAGGUUAAGCGAAUCCUUUUAAAGCCGGUCUCAGUUCGGAUCGGGGUCGGCAACUCGACCCCGUGAAGUCGGAGUCGCUAGUAAUCGCAGAUCAGCAACGCUGCGGUGAAUACGUUCCCGGGCCUUGUACACACCGCCCGUCACGUCAGUUGAAAGUCGGUAACACCCGAAGCC